UCAAGCGAUAGGUAAGGGCAUUUGGUGAAUGCCUUGGCAAUCAGAGGCGAAGAAGGACGUGGUACACUGCGAAAAGUUACGGGGAGUUGUGAACAAGCAUUGAUCCGUAAAUAUCCGAAUGGGGAAACCCACAGAGCAAUCUGUACUGUAUGAUGAAUAAAUAGUCAUGCAGGGCGAACGCAGGGAACUGAAACAUCUAAGUACCUGUAGGAAAGGAAAUCAACCGAGACUCCGAAAGUAGUGGCGAGCGAAAUCGGACCAGCCGAUGGAUAGUCAGUAAAGAAUCAGAAUUAUCUGGAAAGGUAAGCCGGAGAGGGUGACAGCCCCGUACGAGUAGAAAAGCUGACUGUUCUUGAGUAAGGCGGAGCACGAGAAAUUCUGUCUGAAAAUGGGGAGACCACUCUCCAAGGCUAAGUACUACUGAUUGACCGAUAGUGAACAAGUACCGUGAGGGAAAGGUGAAAAGCACCCCUAUAAGGGGAGUGAAAGAGAACCUGAAACCGGAUGCCUACAAGCAGUCGGAGGGUCUAUAAGGCCUGACGGCGUACCUUUUGUAUAAUGGGUCAGCGACUUAAUUUAUGUAGCAAGCUUAAGCCGAUAGGUGUAGGCGUAGAGAAAUCGAGUGUUAACAGCGCGUUAAGUUACAUGAAUUAGACCCGAAACCGAGUGAUCUAGCCAUGAUCAGGUUGAAGGUUGGGUAACACCAACUGGAGGACCGAACCCACUCCCGUUGAAAAGGUAGGGGAUGAAUUGUGGCUAGGGGUGAAAGGCCAAUCAAACUCGGAAAUAGCUGGUUCUCCGCGAAAACUAUUUAGGUAGUGCGGUGAGCGGACACCUUGAGGGGUAGAGCACUGGAAGAGCUAAGGGGGAGCGAUCCUUACUAAACUUUACCAAACUCCGAAUACUCAAGAGUGAUACUCACCAGACAGACAUUAGGUGCUAAGGUCUAGUGUCGAGAGGGAAAGAGCCCAGACCGCCAAUUAAGGUCCCAAAAUUAUGGCUAAGUGGUAAAGGAAGUGAAACGUCCAAAACAGUCAGGAGGUUGGCUUAGAAGCAGCCAUCCUUUAAAGAAAGCGUAAUAGCUCACUGAUCUAAACAAGACGUCUUGCGCCGAAGAUGUAACGGGGCUAAAGCCAUAUACCGAAGUUGCGGAUUUACACGUUAAAGUGUAAGUGGUAGCGGAGCGUUCUGUAAGCCUGCGAAGGUGUACCGUAAGGUAUGCUGGAGGUAUCAGAAGUGAGAAUGCUGACAUGAGUAGCGAAAAGAAGAGUGAGAGACUCUUCCGCUGAAAGUCCAAGGUUUCCUGCGUAAAGCUAAUCUGCGCAGGGUUAGUCGGUCCCUAAGGCGAGGCAGAGAUGCGUAGUCGAUGGCAAUCAGGUUAAUAUUCCUGAACCGGCCCGGAAGUGACGGAUUGAGUAAAUUGUAAGUUCUUAUUGGAUUGAGCUUGCAGUGAAUCAGUCCCAGGAAAUAGCCCGGGCUAAGACCGUACCCGAAACCGACACAGGUGGACAGGUAGAGAAUACCAAAGCGCUUGAGAGAACUAUGUUGAAGGAACUAGGCAAAAUACUUGCGUAACUUCGGGAUAAGCAAGCCCCAUUUUAAGGCAACUUAGGGUGGGGGGCACAUACUAGGGGGUAGCGACUGUUUACUAAAAACACAGGGCUCUGCUAAAUUGAAAGAUGAAGUAUAGGGUCUGACGCCUGCCCGGUGCUGGAAGGUUAAGGAGAGAUGUGCAAGCAUUGAACUGAAGCCCCAGUAAACGGCGGCCGUAACUAUAACGGUCCUAAGGUAGCGAAAUUCCUUGUC
rnacentral:rRNA from 1 species